GCCCUGCUCUUCUCUCACCUGAGAAAGUGAAACCUUCCCCAGGACACUGCACUGUGGAAUUCAAUUAUGGACUCUGAGUAGCCGCUAUUCAGUGUGCUGCUUUCAAACAACAUGUAAUGAUAGAAUUCCAUCGGAAGAUGAGAGGCAUCCAUGUCCAGAGAGAGAAUUUCUCGAGGCCCCAACAGGAUUCCUGUGGGGAGACAAUUGAUUGGAACAUGUCACAGUCACCAUGCAGACAAGCUGGCUGGAGAUGUGAUUAACGGGCAAACAUCCCGUCUGCUCGGCAGAAACGGUGCUCUGAUCUUCUUCCUGUCAUUGUCUACAAGCAAAAUGUCUUCUUCAUGUUUACUUAUGAUCCACCUCAGAAGAGCCUCACAGAUGCCCGCACCUCCAACGGUGCCGUGAGCCUGUCCGGCCUGCAAAGCACUGCCACCUACAUAUCUCAGUGAACCGAUGUACUGCAAACAGGAGCCUGAAUACCACCCUGCUGAAUACAUAUUUUACUCCACUUGCUAAAACUUCCUUUUUUACAAAGAUAA